GGAAAAUUCUAGAAAAGAAACUGAGUCGAGAAAAGAACCCAUUUUCAGAAUUUUAAAAUUUGAACGGUGGGAAGCCCCCAUUCUUUCAUUGCAGUGUCUUUACGUGUCUGCCUUCCUCAACUAACUGCUAAUUUGUCAUUUUGGAUUUCUUUUGUCAAACAAUUUUGGUUUCUAAACGUGGUUAACUUAAAACAAUGAAUUUGAUUUUUUUAUUUUUUUAAAUUUGGACACCCAUGAACAAGAAAGCAAAUUAGGCAAUGGAGUUUUUCCUAUAUAAACCCCCCUCUGCCUCUCUUCUUCCUCCCCCUCUUCCUCUUCUUUACCCUCUAUUGUUCACUCUCUUUCUCUAUAUGUGCAUCUUUGCCUUCUCUAAAUCGCUAAACUCUCUCUGUUUUGCUCCUUCCCUUUCUUAAGUUCCACAAAUCAUCACCUGGUAUGAUAUACCCCUCUGGUUUUAAGUCUUGCAUUUUCUUUCUCGUCUAAGUUCUGAGUUGUUUUUUAUAGCACUUGGAAGUUUCGCCAUCUGGGUUUUCACCUAUAAUCGAUUUUUGGGUUUCUGCGUGUGUUCUUUAUUUUGGAAACAGUGUGAAGACCUUUUAGCUCAAACUCAAAAGUAGUGUGCAUUGCUGUAAGGGGGUGUUUUUAUUUUUAGUUGUGAUCAGAGUUUUGAUGAACUUUUUAAUUGAAUUGGAAAUGCAUAAGUCACUUGUCCAUUCUUUCUUGAUGCAAUCUGUUAUAGUGGUUGUGGAUUGUCUACUCAUGAAUUCAACAAGGCCUUAUCUCAACUGCUAGCGAUUAUCCACUCAUCUAGAUGUUUCUCUGCAUAUGGUGCUAAUCCUAGUAGAUAGGAACCUUAAUUUUUUCCCUUUUCUACCCGUGAGAGCUUACAUUUUGAGAGUUAAAUUCAAUCUUCGUUUUAGCUUUGGUGGGUUUAAGUUAUCAAUAUUGAACUUUGAAUUCACUCCCUUUUGUUGUUUGCUUAAGGUUUGUUGAUAAAAAAUGGAGUAUGAGGAUCGCUACCUCCAGGCACAAAAGCCUAAAUAUGAUUGCCUUUUGUUUGAUCUUGAUGAUACACUUUAUCCCCUUAGUUGUGGUCUUGCAGCAGCAUGUGGCCAGAAUAUUAAAGAUUAUAUGGUGGAACACCUUGGGAUAGAGAAGAGCAAGAUCACUGAAUUGGGUAACCUGCUGUACAAGAAUUAUGGCACAACAAUGGCUGGCCUCAGGGUAUAGCAUUUGAACAUUUUUUUAACCAUAAUAUAAAAUCCUUCUUUGAUUCCAUGAGUUGCAUUUUGAUGUUGGUGUCUUUCUUUCUGCAGGCAAUUGGUUAUGACUUCGACUAUGAUGAGUACCACAGGUAGGAAACAGGAAUAUCCUUUCUUCUGUUUUAUCACUAUAUUGUUUUGUUAAAAUUUUUACAUGAGUUACUGCUAGUUUGAUUUACCCAUAUUUUUCACUUUCCUAUGUACCAGUUAUGUUCAUGGGAGACUACCCUAUGAGAACUUGAAACCAGACCCUGUCCUGAGGAAUCUUCUGCAGAGCCUGCCAAUUCGAAAAGUUAUCUUUACGAAUGCAGACAAAGUGCAUGCCCUCAGAGUUCUUGCCAAGCUUGGGCUGGAAGAUUGUUUUGAAGGGAUUAUUUGUUUUGAGACUCUAAACCCUACCCACAAGAACACCAUUUCUGAUGAUGAAGAUGACAUUGAGUUUGUGGGAUCAGCUGUUACUGCAGCUGCCAAAACUACUAGUAAUCGUACUGAAAUUUUUGACAUUAUUGACCAUUUUUCUCGACCAAACCCAGGCGCAGAGUUACCAAAGACGCCUAUUGUCUGCAAACCAUCAGUAACUGCCAUAGAAAGGGCUCUGGAGAUUGCUAACAUUAAUCCUCAGAGAACUUUGUUCUUUGAGGAUAGUGUCCGCAACAUUCAGGCUGGAAAACGUGUGGAUCUUCACACUGUGCUGGUUGGUACAUCUCAGAGAGAGAAAGGUGCAGAUUAUGCAUUAGAAAGCAUCCACAACCUGAGGCAAGCAGUGCCAGAGAUUUGGGAGGCUGAAAUUAAGACAGAAGGGUACCCUGGAAAGCUUGCAAGGGAGACACCUGUCACUGCCUAAGAUAUUUGCUUUCUUGUCAUUAGCUCAAAGGAAGAAAGUGAAUCAAUGAUAAGAGGAUCUUAGGAUAUCUAUGAUCAUAAGGUCUACCCACCUCUGCCCGCUCGGAUUGA
rnacentral:misc_RNA from 1 species